UUGAUGGUGAUGGCCAUGGCACGUAAGUGUGGUUUUUCAUUAGUUUAUUGAUUCUACUUGUUCCAGUUGUCAUAGUUGUGCACGUUUCCAAUUAUCUUUAUUACAAACUUAAUAGCAUUAUCUCUCUACUCUCUUGAGAAAGCAUGAUUAUAACUUUGGAAGUCAGUCUACUCAACUCAAAAUCUUUUUAAGACUGCUGUAAGUUUUCUGAUUCCCUAGCAGACAAGUUCCCUAGCUAGGAGACUAGUGAGA
rnacentral:misc_RNA from 1 species